rnacentral:rRNA from 1 species
GCUGACUUCAUUGUUUGGCUUAUAAGAGUUAUCAAAUAUCACUUUGAUUAAAUUAGAGUGCUUAAAGCAAGUGUUUUACUUGAAUAUAAAUGCAUGGAAUGAUGGAAUAUGUUGUUGUUCUAUUUGUUGGUUUUUGAACGAUGAAAUGAUUGAAAGGAACUGUUGGGGGCAUUCGUAUUGUUGUGAGAGAGGUGAAAUUCUUAGACCACAGCAAGACGAACUACUGCGAAAGCAUUUGCCAGGAAUGUUUUCAUUGAUCAAGAACGAAAGUUAGAGGUUCGAAGGCGAUCAGAUACCGCUCUAGUUCUAACCAUAACCUAUGCCACCUAGCAAUUUGCUUAUGUAUGUUCCAUGACUAGG